rnacentral:rRNA from 4 species
AUUGAAUGGCUCAGUGAGGCCUUCGGACUGGCCCAGGGAGGUCGGCAACGACCACCCAGGGCCGGAAAGUUGGUCAAACUCGGUCAUUUAGAGGAAGUAAAAGUCGUAACAAGGUCUCCGUAGGUGAACCUGCGGAGGGAUCAUU